rnacentral:rRNA from 1 species
AGCAGCCGCGGUAAUUCCAGCUCCAAUAGCGUAUAUUAAAGUUGUUGCAGUUAAAAAGCUCGUAGUUGAAUUUCGGGGUUAGUAGGUUGGUCAUGCCUCUGGUAUGUACUGGUCUCACUGAUUCCUCCUUCCUGAUGAGCCGUAAUGCCAUUAAUUUGGUGUUGCGGGGAAUUUGGACUGUUACUUUGAAAAAAUUAGAGUGUUUAAAGCAAGCUAACGCUUGAAUACAUUAGCAUGGAAUAAUGAAAUAGGACGUUCGAUCCUAUUUUGUUGGUUUCUAGGAUUGACGUAAUGAUUAAUAGGGAUAGUUGGGGGCAUUAGUAUUCAAUUGUCAGAGGUGAAAUUCUUGGAUUUAUUGAAGACUAACUACUGCGAAAGCAUUUGCCAAGGAUGUUUUCAUUAAUCAAGAACGAAAGUUAGGGGAUCGAAGACGAUCAGAUACCGUCGUAGUCUUAACCAUAAACUAUGCCGACUAGGGAUCGGAUGAUGUUAAUUUUUAAUGACUCAUUCGGCGCCCUAA